rnacentral:rRNA from 1 species
GGGCCGCACGCGCGCUACACUGACAGAGCCAGCGAGUUUCUCUCCUUGGCCGGAAGGUCCGGGUAAUCUUGUGAAACUCUGUCGUGCUGGGGAUAGAGCAUUGCAAUUAUUGCUCUUCAACGAGGAAUUCCUAGUAAGCGCAAGUCAUCAGCUUGCGUUGAUUACGUCCCUGCCCUUUGUACACACCGCCCGUCGCUACUACCGAUUGAAUGGCUUAGUGAGGCCUCCGGAUCGGGCCUGGAGAGCGGGAAACCGCAUUCCGGGCUUGAGAAGCUGGUCAAACUUGGUCAUUUAGAGGAAGUAAAAGUCGUAACAAGGUUUCCGUAGGUGAACCUGCGGAAGGAUCAUUAAUGAAACAAACCGGGGGCGGUGGGGCGUGGCCUUGCACCGGCGGAGACGCCGUUCGUGCGGGCUCGCUCCGCCCCCUCAUCCACAACCCACACACCUGUGCACCAAAGGGACGGCGGGUGGAUAACGCACGUCGUCUCGCUUUAACAAGCUCAAAAGUCUAUUUCGAAUGUCAUUUGAUUCGGGCUAGUCUCGAUGUAAACUAAAUGUAACAACUUUCAACAACGGAUCUCUUGGCUCUCGCAUCGAUGAAGAACGCAGCGAAAUGCGAUAAGUAAUGUGAAUUGCAGAAUUCAGUGAAUCAUCGAAUCUUUGAACGCACCUUGCGCCCAUUGGUAUUCCGAUGGGCAUGCCUGUUUGAGUGUCUUGAAAUCAUCAAGCCCGUUCGGUUUCACCGCCGAGCGUGGCUUGGACUUGGGGGCCUUGCCGCUUUGCCGCGGCUCCCCUUAAAUGCAUCGGUUUCGGGUCUCUGUGGGAGUCACCCCUUGGGCGUUGUAUAACCCUCGCCGUCUGGGAACUCCACGCGACGUCCGCGUCGUUGAAGGGCCUCUGAAGGAACCUCGACCUGCUGUAGAGCGGCGGUCAAUGUUAAUUCGAGAUCUGACCUCAAAUCAGGUAGGACUACCCGCUGAACUUAAGCAUAUCAAUAAGCGGAGGAAAAGAAACUAACAAGGAUUCCCCUAGUAACUGCGAGUGAAGCGGGAAAAGCUCAAAUUUGAAAUCUGGCGUCUCCGGCGUCCGAGUUGUAUUCUGGAGAAGCGUUUUCCGUGCUGGACCGUGUACAAGUCCCUUGGAACAGGGCGUCAUAGAGGGUGAGAAUCCCGUCUUUGACACGGACUGCCAGUGCUCUGUGAUGCGCUCUCGAAGAGUCGAGUUGUUUGGGAAUGCAGCUCAAAACGGGUGGUAAAUUCCAUCUAAAGCUAAAUAUUGGCGAGAGACCGAUAGCGAACAAGUACCGUGAGGGAAAGAUGAAAAGCACUUUGGAAAGAGAGUGAAACAGUACGUGAAAUUGUUGAAAGGGAAACGCUUGUAGUCAGUCGCGUCUUCUGGAACUCAGCCUUGCUUCUGCUUGGUGUACUUUCCAGUUUGACGGGUCAGCAUCGGUUUCGGUGGGGCAGACAAAGGCGGAGGGAAGGUGGCCGCUCCGGCGGUGUUAUAGCCCUCCGUUGUACGUGCCUCCUGGGACCGAGGAAUCCGGCGCUCGACGCCUGGGAUGCUGGCGUAAUGGCUUUAAGCGACCCGUCUUGAAACACGGACCAAGGAGUGCUACAUGCUCGCGAGUGUUUGGGUGGAAAACCCGGACGCGGAAUGAAAGUGAAAGCCGUGACCCUUCACAGGGGCAGCGGCGCCCGAGCCUGAUGUUUUCGGAAGGCCUUGCGGUAGAGCGAGUAUGUUGCGACCCGAAAGAUGGUGAACUAUUCCUGAGGAGGGCGAAGCCAGAGGAAACUCUGGUGGAGGCUCGUAGCGGUUCUGACGUGCAAAUCGAUCGCAGGACUUGGGUAUAGGGGCGAAAGACUAAUCGAACC